CCCUUAGAUGUCCUGGGCCGCACGCGCGUUACACUGAUGCAUUCAACGAGCUUAUAACCUUGGCCGAGAGGCCUGGGCAAUCUUGUUAACGUGCAUCGUGAUAGGGAUAGAUUAUUGAAAUUAUUAAUCUUGAACGAGGAAUUCCUAGUAAACGCAGAUCAUCAAUCUGCAUUGAUUACGUCCCUGCCCUUUGUACACACCGCCCGUCGCACCUACCGAUUGGAUGGUCCGGUGAAGCCUCGGGAUUGUGGUUCUUGCCGCUUUAUUGUGGCGUGACCGCGAGAACUUGUCUAAACCUUAUCAUUUAGAGGAAGGUGAAGUCGUAACA
rnacentral:rRNA from 1 species